rnacentral:lncRNA from 1 species
AUAAUAUUUUAUAAAGACUGUUUUUCUAGUUAUAAUAGUUUGCAAGAAAUUUUCUGAAAUAUAGGGAGUCCUCAACUUAUGAUCAGUUUCAGUUUGAAUCCCACCAUUGUAAUUCAGAAUGGUCAAAAGUCAGAAGUGCCCAAAAUUUAGGAAUUAUCCAUUAUCGAUAUUCAUUGUUACACUCCAUUUUAUUGUAACAAAUUUAACCAAUACAAGAACCAGACACAAAAAUGAUUCUUUCUGCGUAACUAUUACUAUUGUUUAUAUCAACAUUGUUCAAAUACUCGAACCCAUGUCAACAGUAUUGACCCAUCCCAGAAUUUACUGAUUAUAUCACCAUCGUUAGUAUGAAUGGUCAUGACCUGAGGCAUGACCAUUCAUAUUAACAAUGACCUGAGGGAGUCAUAAGUCAAGGACUAUCUGUAUACUUAGUUUAAACUAUCUUAUCAAGUUAUGUACAUUUUUAAUAUCUAAUUAACCAUCAGCAAUAUCAAAAAAGAAAAAGUGAUAUUUAGAUAAUUUCUUUCCCAUUAAUAUUUGAGAAUGCACUAUGCUUUGCAGUAUACUAGGGGAAUAAUUGCAUCCAUUGUAUUAUUAAAUGUCAAUAUAAAGCUUAGUUAAUGGCAUUUUAAGCUCAUUAAAAUAUGACUGAAUCAAGAUUGAUGUAUGUAUUUAAAGCCACAUCCUUAAGGAUGCCAUCUUUAAAGUUGCAAUUUCUCUGGCCUAUUGUAGCUGAAAAAUUUUAUUUUAAAGUUAGUGCCACAAUAAAACAUGAAAAAAUCAAAUAAUCACAUAUGCUU